AGCGUCAGUCAACCUUUCGUGGUCUUUCGAACCAUAUCGUGGUAGACAUAUCGUGGUAGAUAUAAUAAUUGUAAUAAAGCGUGUGUAAAUAUUACAUUCCUUCAACAUUGCGCAUAUUGCUAAAGCAUUUAUUUGUUGCAGUUAAUUUAGAAAAAAAUAUAAUUUUACUUAAAUAUAAUUUUUCCAAUAUAAUUUUCCAAUUAGGCUACUGCUCCGAAAUAUUGGAGGGUGACGUCUCUAGUUUAAGAAACUUUUGUUCGAUUUGGAUUUCAUCCUUUUUCAUCUCUCCACCCCAUUGAAAAAGUGUUUUACAGAUCUAAAAGAAAUGAUCCUUUUCUCCAACAUAAUGAUAUUUCUAAAACUAUUCUUAAGCGGAUUAAUAUUUAUCGCUGCGACGGCUUCCACUCGCAAUGAAUCUUUAUGCUAUCAAGAAUCAGAAUAUAUAAUACCAAUGCAUUACGAUAUCAAGCUUACACCAUAUA